AGUGAACGCUGGCGGUAGGCCUAACACAUGCAAGUCGAACGGCAGCACAGUAAGAGCUUGCUCUUACGGGUGGCGAGUGGCGGAUGGGUGAGGAAUACAUCGGAAUCUACUUUUUCGUGGGGGAUAACGUAGGGAAACUUACGCUAAUACCGCAUACGACCUACGGGUGAAAUCAGGGGAUCUUCGGACCUUGCGCGAUUGAAUGAGCCGAUGUCGGAUUAGCUAGUUGGCGGGGUAAAGGCCCACCAAGGCGACGAUCCGUAGCUGGUCUGAGAGGAUGAUCAGCCACACUGGAACUGAGACACGGUCCAGACUCCUACGGGAGGCAGCAGUGGGGAAUAUUGGACAAAGGGCGCAAGCCUGAUCCAGCCAUACCGCGUGGGUGAAGAAGGCCUUCGGGUUGUAAAGCCCUUUUGUUGGGAAAGAAAAGCAGCAGGUUAAUACCCCGCUGUUCUGACGGUACCCAAAGAAUAAGCACCGGCUAACUUCGUG
rnacentral:rRNA from 1 species